CUUCAACAAAACUUUCUAUAGCAGCCCAGGCAGUGAACAUAAGAUCACGGAUGAACAUGGAGACGGUGUUGGAUAAUGCCACUGGAAACUUGAUGUGGUGGGCACCGGCCAUACUACAGCCAAGUCAUACAACACCAGAGAUUAGUGAUCUUAAGCUGUGUGACUUGGUUAACUUGCUCAAUGGAUCUGUCAAACAAUGUAACGGUGAUUACUUUGAGACUUUCAAGGGUAAAGAGGGAUAUGGAAGAAUGUGUGAGUAUCUAGAUUUUCAGAGGACUAUGAGUUCUAUGGAACCAGCACCAGAGAUUUAUUUAUUCUCGAGCUGGACUAAUUUUUUCAAUGCACUUGAUUUUGGAUGGGGGAGGACAUCAUGGAUUGGAGUUACGGGAAAAAUUGAAUCUGCAUUUUGCAAUUCCACAAUGUUGGUUCCAACACAAUGCGAUAAUGGAAUUGAAGCAUGGGUGAAUCUAGAAGAAGAGAAAAUGGCUAUGCUAGAACAAGAUCCCCAGUUUCUAGCGGUAGCAUCUCCAAACCCCCCAAUUUCAAGGUGUUGAUUAAAAAAGAUUAUGUGGCUCGUGCAAUGUUUCGAUUUUGUAGUGAAUAAGGUUUAAAUUAGUUCACCAGCCAAUCAAUAAGAUGCAAGUAUGAUAGACUCUGUCUACGUAUGUUAUCCGAAUGUGUUUUCGAUAUGCUUGUAACCAAUAUAGCUCUUGUUUGUAAUAAUGCUCUGUUAAGCUUCUAUCUAUAAAGUUAUUUCUCUUGAUUAAAGAAAAAACUAUACAAGUUUUGUUAAGCUUUAUUCUAUUUUUAAGAUAGGAUGUAUGUAGUACCUAUAAAGAUGGUUCACCUAUUAUUAUUUUCAAAUACAUGAUUAUCCGGUACAAUUACGUAGAAUAUUUCUAUAGCUAAAAAAAUGUAAUUUUGAUCCGUGACAACAUGAUUAAAAAAUUACAUAUUCUGAUACAUUUGUUCUCUAACGACAAGCAUGGCCAUAAUGCCUCACCUGAUCAUCUAUGUGAUGGGGUAGUGUCCUUUCUUUUUAAGAGAAGGUAGGCACCUAAUGUGAAGGCCUCUACGAGAGACUAAUAUUGUCUGAUCUUCUUUUGUUCAUCAAAUUAAAGAAACGAAAAUGGCCACAAUGCCUCACUAUUGAUAGAAGAUAGAACCAUACAAUAAUUUGGAACAUAUGCAUGGAGACAAGGAAAUAUAACACAAUAAAACCAUUAUAAUUUCACUUUAUGUGGGAAACUUGGCCAAAACCGAAUCACAUCCACGUUGGCAACAAAAAGUGACUGGAAAAAAAGAGCCCCCAAAAAGCUAAAACACUAUAAAAACCAGAAAACUUGAAUAAGCGAAAAACCAAAAGUAUGACAUUUACACACACACUCUAUCUCUCUCUCAAAGUCUGAAAACUUGCGCAAUAAGGUACCUAGCUCUCUGGUCUUUUCUUUCUAAUGCAUAUAAGUCCCUGUAAAUUUUAUGGCUUUUGGAAUGAUGAUUUUAUGCUUGUGGAUCUCAGAUGGGUUUGUUUUGUUUUGGGAUUUUUAUAAAUGAAUCCAUUGAAAAUGUUGAAAGCUUAUGCCUUUGUUCCUUGGUUCACUGUUCUGGUUUUGUAAAUUGUGUGUACGAGAGUUGAAAUGUUGGUUUUGGUAAAGAGAAAUGUUCUAUAACCAUGUAAGUUAUCUUCUAAAGUUGUUCGAGUACUGCAUAGGAAAUAACGACCUAAACUGCUAGAUGCUCUGAGAAACUUAAUUAUCCGAUUCGUUGUGAUAAAUUAAUAGAACCAUCAAUAGCCGUGAUAGUCCCUUAAUAUUUGGUGGCUAAUUAGCAAUGCAUUCAUGGUAGUUGCAUGUGCUUAUUUUGUGCAGUAUUCUAAUUCUAUCACUUGCAAAAUCGUUGUGGAAGGUCAAGAGGAGAAAACUGAAAAUGGGGCAGCAUGCAUCUCAUUUUAUUUUUUUAUGCAAUAGAGCCCUAUAUAUAAAAUAAAUAAUGUAUCUAUAACCUUCUCUAAUUAAUUUACUUAGUAAUUGACGCAAUUUGGCCGAACUGUUUCUAAACACACUAAGCUUCAGUUCUAUAUAUACCACGUACCACAUGUAUGAAUUCAUCAAGUGUCUGAUAAUACUAAACCUACUUCGACAAAAUGGAGAAAAUUGAGGUCAGUAUAAUUUCCAAACACACCAUCAAACCAUCAGCUUCCACUCCACGACUUCAGCCUUACAAGCUUACCCUCCUGGACCAGCUCACUCCUGCAAUGUAUGUCCCCAUGGUAUUCUUCUACCCCAUUACUGAUCCUGUCUUCAAUCUUCCUCAAACCCUAGCUGACUUAAGACAAGCCCUUUCCGAGACUCUCACUUUGUACUAUCCACUCUCUGGAAGGGUAAAAAACAACCUAUACAUCGAUGAUUUUGAAGAGGGUGUCCCAUACCUUGAGGCUCGAGUGAAUUGUGACAUAACUGAUUUCCUAAUGCUUCGGAAAAUCGAGUGCCUAAAUGAGUUUGUUCCAAUAAAAACAUUUAGUAUGGAAGCAAUAUCUGAUGAGCGUUACCCUUUGCUUGGAGUUCAAGUCAACAUUUUCGACUCUGGAAUAGCAAUCGGUGUCUCCGGCUCUCACAAGCUCAUUGAUGGAAGAACGGCAGACUGUUUUCUCAAGUCCUGGGGUGCUGUUUUUCGAGGGUGUCGUGAAGAUAUCAUACAUCCUUGUCUCUCUGAAGCAGCAUUGCUUUUCCCACCGAGAGAUGACCUGCCUGAAAAGUAUAUAGCUUUGAUGGAAGGGUUACGGUUUGCCGGAAAAAAAGUUUCUACGAGGAGAUUCGUAUUUGAUGCGAAAACCAUAUCUGCAAUUCAAGAUGAAGCGAAGAGCGAGUCCGUGCCCAAGCCAUCACGAGUUCAGGCCGUCACUGGUUUUCUCUGGAAACAUCUAAUCGUUGCUUCUCGGGCACUAACAUCAGGUAAAAUUAGUUUAUCAACAAGCCAAAUAAUAAAGCCUAAUGUAUUUGGGGUACUUAUUUAUAUAUUUUUAUUACGUAUAGCUAGUGUACUGUGUACAUAGCUCAAAGAAUGAGAAAAUAUAUGAACUUGCAGGUACUACUUCAACAAAACUUUCUAUAGCAGCCCAGGCAGUGAACAUAAGAUCACGGAUGAACAUGGAGACGGUGUUGGAUAAUGCCACUGGAAACUUGAUGUGGUGGGCACCGGCCAUACUAGAGCUAAGUCAUACAACACCAGAGAUUAGUGAUCUUAAGCUGUGUGACUUGGUUAACUUGCUCAAUGGAUCUGUCAAACAAUGUAACGAUGAUUACUUUGAGACUUUCAAGGGUAAAGAGGGAUAUGAAAGCAUGUGUGAGUAUCUAGAUUUUCAGAGGAUUAUGAGUUCUAUAGAACCAACACCAGAGAUUUAUACAUUCUCGAGCUGGACCAGUUUUUUCAACCAACUUGAUUUUGGAUGGGGGAGGUCAUCUUGGAUUGGAGUUACAGGAAAAAUUGAAUCUGCAUAUUGCAAUUCCACAGUGUUGGUUCCAACACAAUGCGAUACUGGAAUUGAAGCGUGGGUAAGUCUAGAAGAAGAGAAAAUGGCUACGCUAAAACAAGAUCCCCAGUUUCUAGCGGCAGCAUCUCCAAACCCCCCAGUUUCAAGGUGUUGAUUAAAAAAGAUUAUGUGGCUCGUGCAAUGUUUCUAUUUUGCAGUGAAUAAGGUUUAAAUUAGUUCACCCGUCGAUCAAUAAGAUGCAAGUAUGAUAGAUAUGUUAUUCGAAUGUGUUUCGAUAUGGUUGUAACCAAUUAAUAUAGCUCUUGUUUGUAACAAUGCUCUAUUAAGCUUCUAUCUAUAAAGUUAUUUCUCUAUUAAAAAAAAAACUAUGGAAGUGUUACCAAGCUUUGUUCUGUUUCAAAGGUAAGAUGCAUAUACUACCCGAAAAUAAUGUUCACCUAUCAUAAUUCUUCCACAUGAAAACCCGGUAAGAAUCACAUAAAAUAUUUCUAAUACUUUAGAAUCUAAUUUGGGUUUGUGACAACAUAAUUGAAGAGGUACAUAUUCUGAUACAUUCGUUAUUUAACGACAAGCAUGUACAUAAUACCUAACCUAGGAGGAGGGUGUACGUAGUGUUCUCUCUCCUUAAGAAGGCCUGCCUUUCGCGAAGGCCUCUUUCAAAGGACUGAUAUAAUAUAAUCUUCUUCUUUUUUUAAUCAAAAGAAACGAAAAUGGCUUCAUUGUUCAUAAUUUGGAAUAUAUGGUGGAUUGUACGGUGUUGUUUUGAGGGAGCUUCUCUCUCGGGUCAAGGGUUUCCAAUGGAUUUGUGCAAUGAGAUUUGAUUGGCAACAGUUAUUCGGGCAUCAACGCUCCAAUUUAGCACUCCUCAGUCCUCACUACCUCAUUGUUGUUGACGAUGGCGAUGACGACAUUAGCGAGCAUGGGUGAUGUGUGUGGCAUAUUUGUUUGUAUUGUUGCAUUAUUGCUUUCGGAUGUAAGGGCUUCGCCCUAUAGAUUAGCGAGCAAUUGGUCUCCUCUCAUUCUUUCUACCUUGAUCGAGUUGGAGAUCCAUGCACUUUAUUUGUAGUACUUUUUUUGGCCUCGCGUUUGCAAGCUUUGAAAUUCCCGUGAUUAAGGAAUUAUUCAUUUUUUACAAAAAAAAAGAAGAAGAUUUUUUCCUGAAAAAUAACACAACAACCAUCAUAAUUUCACUUUAUGUGGGAAAUUUAGCCAAAUCCGAAUCACAUCCACGUCGGCAACAGAGAGUGACUUGAAAGAAGUGCACCCAGAAAGCUAAAAAACCAUAAAAACUAGAAAACUUGAAUAAGGAAAAACUAAAGUAUGACAUUCCAAUCUAUUGUUUUAUGGUUUUUGAAGGAUUCAAAUUUGUCAACCACUUUUUACUUGACCACCUUAAUGACCACUAUCUAGAUUGGUGAUACGUGUCUUUUCAAAUUAUUUUACUUUAUUGUUUUAUUGUUGAUAAAAAAAAUAAACAUGUGUCACCAAUCUAAAUAGUGGUCAUUGAGAUGAUCAAGUAAAAGUGGUUGACAAAUUUGAAUCCAUUUCUUAUUGCGGUUUUGUUCUGCCAAAUCCAAAUCCCAUGACCCAAUCAUUUACACUCCCUCUCAAUCUCUGCAAAACUGACUGCUUCCCUUGAAAACGUGCGCAAUAAGGUACCUAGCUCUCUGCCCUUUUCCUUGUAAUGCAUUCAAGUCCCUGUAAAUUUUGUGGUUUUUGGUAAUGAUUUUAUGCUUGUGGAUCUCAAAUGGGUUUGGGUUUGUUUUGUUUUGGGAUUUUUAUAAAUGAAUGCAUUGGAAAUGUUAAAGCUUAUGCGUUUGUUCCAUGAUUCAGUGUUCUGCAAUUUGUGCCUUCUCUUCCGGAUCUGAUGUACGUGAUGUUCUAGCUAGUUGUCUUUUGGAUUGAAAAGAUAUUAUCUUUUGAUUGUUUUUGAUAGAACAUCAACAUCAAUCAUCAAUGAGAUGAAUCUGAAGUAGGUUAUUAGUUUGGAGAUAUGUUAAUGGUUAAUGAAUCAAGCUGAAGUUGUUCUGGUUAUUGGAGCAAUAGGUUCCAUACUGAAGCAUCUAAUUUUGAAUUUGCAAAGAGUGGUUGACGAGUUAUCCUUGGGAUUGGCGGGUGACAUUGAAAAAGUCUUGGUUUUGUGUAUAAGAGUUGAAAUGUGAUUUCUUUACUGUUACCAUGAUGUGGGUUCUACUAAAAGACUCGUUCUUGAAUCUGGGGUCAUGUCCUGUGAUGACUCAAUUCUUGCAAAACACAACUGAGAUGUGUCAAAAUGGGUUCGGGAGCGUCUUUAUAUAUCGAAGUAUCAUGAGUUUCGAUACUAAGUGAGGGUGCUGGAUAGAAUUGAGUUUGGAGGUUCAAUGCUUCAAAAACAAAGAAGCUAGAGGGAACGUAAUUCUUGAUGAUUCAAGACGGAUCAAUGACCUUGUAAUUAAGUUGCUUAUGUGCAAUUGUUGAGCUUAUGGUGUUUCCAGUUUGGAUACGGAUAGCUAUUUCUGUUUUCAGUAUAACCACCAUGUGUUGCAUCCUCUUACUCUUCAUCUUCAUUUACCUAUCUUUGAUCUGAUGUUCCAUUGGCAGAGCUCCCUUAUGCUAAACUGUAAAACCUGCAUUCCAGGUGGUCAUUCUGUUAGAACUUUGGAAGGUCUCGGAAAGGAAACACUCGUCGACAAAUUUUGGGAGCAGUUGCAUAAAAGGAAUGGUCUCCCAACUCGGAGAUAAUGGAGACGCGUACUGGAAAUUCCCGUCCCAAUAAAAAGCAAUCGUCGGAGAAGUCUAAAUCUGCCACUGAAGAGAAAAGGCCUGCAGAAAAGAAGCAAACACUUCUGUGUUUGUCAACUAUGGUAAGUUCAUUAGAUAGUAAGUACUGAGUUUUCUAACAUCGGUGUAACACCAUGCAACUAACUCAGUACUGUAGAAUAGACAUCUAUGUUAGUCUCUUUAGAUAAUAUGCACACUUUAACUUUUCAAAUGACGUCCUGCAUUAGUUAGUCAACUGUUCAAAAUCUCGUAGGUUACAAUUUUCCCAUCUCCAAAACCAAGUGUCCAUAAUCUUUUUCCCUCUUUGUUCACUAAACUAGUAAACUCCUCGUUUAGAUUAAUGUUCUAAAUCUUUUAGUUUUUGUUCCAUCUUGACAUAACUUGUGGCUCAUUACCUACGUUGCAUGGAAUCGGAAGCGGAAACGUGGAAGCGAAGCGUUUGGAAGCGCGGAAGCGAUUUUUUUGAAAAUAAUUUGGAAGCGAAAGCGUUUUAGAAAUGUGAGAAUCAAAAUAAUAUAUACAAAUAACAAAUAUAUAUCACCUAAUUUUAAUUUCAUUCAUUUAUUUUAAUCGUUAAUUUUAAUAAGUUGUACAAAUUAGUUUGAUUGUUUAGCAGAUAACAACUCAUUCUUAAAAAAAAAAGAUAUCACUAAACCUUAUAAAAAUAAACUUCUUCACUAAAAAAAAGUCCACCAUGAAAUAUUGAAAGCACACGUCUCUCUAAUCUCUACACCUUUUAAUCUUCUUUCUUCACCUCUCUAUGCUCUCUCACCCUCCAGGUUGCCGUCAUCUUCUUUAACUUCAUUCUCUCUCACUCCUCUCCCUCCCUCCAGUUUCAAAUCCUUUCUUAACAGGUCCUCAAGCAGAAGAUCUGAUUGAUUAUAGAUUUCGAAAGAGAUAGAGAGAAGAUUGAUGUGCCGCUGAAUCAGUUCUCGUGCAGUGGACCAUCGCGCUUCCAAAUCAAAAUCGUGAGCUUCCAUAUUGGAAGCAUGCGCUUCCGUCGUGCUUCCAAAACCCUCUUUUCCCGGAAUCACGAUUCCGGGCGCUUCCGAGCGCUUCCACGGCGUUUCCGCUUCGCUUCCGCUUCGGAAGCGGGCGAGUGGCCCGGCGCUUCCGUGCUUCCUAGCUCAUUACUGCCCUGUAAACCAACUACGGCCGAGUUGUACCAAAAGGAAAUUCGGCCUCUCAUCAAUGAGUAAAGGUUUUUUUUUUUUUUUUCUUCCUUUUGUGGGGGAAGAAGAAGUAUGCAAUAAUUUUGGAAGUAACAUAUCCCCUAUCACCAUUCCUUGCAACAAGCAAUUACUUCUGGCAUUUUGUGGUUGAUGUUGAUCAUUUUGUAACUUUUGUUCUUUCAUGAUAAUAAAGCUAAUUUCUCAUGUAGCUGCAAUUGCUUGGCAUGAGAGUAGAAGAAAGUGGAUAGGGGAUCAGCGGCUGCAAAGAAUGGCCAAGGAUCCAAUUAUAAGGUAUUUUUUCCUCACAAAGGUUCCUGGAUAGAAUGGGGUUAGCAAGUCAUGGUUAAAGAGUUGCACCUUAAAGUUUAAUAACAAAAGAAAAGUUGGAGAGCAUAACUGCCAUAACUUAUAUUCUUUGUAGGUACAAAUGAACUCAUUAACACUGGUGUGUCAGUUUUUAGGAAAUUACACUUAUAUUUGAGUAUCUGUCACUCUGUCCACUACUUGCACCCUGACUUGCUGAUCUGUAAAUCCUAGAUUUUUCAAAAUUGCUCCUUUAGUCCUUUUGUUUGGUGUGUGUCCAUAUUAGUAGCUUUGUCCAUUUAUGCUGUUAAAUUGUAGCUGCUAUAUGAAUGUCAGGAAGUUAAAUGUGAAAACUAUAUGCUGCAUAUUAUAGCACCAUUGUAAUGAUUGAUGAUAUUAGUGUCUUUGUCCAAUUAUUUUCUGUUCAAUUAUUGCUACUUCUUGAAGAUAAUGUGGAAAGUUUAUGUUUCAGCUGGUCAACAGCCUAUGAGGAUCUACUCUCAACCAAUGAGUGUUUUUCUGAGCCGAUCCCCUUAACUGUAAGUCGAUCAUAUAAUAGCACAUACCUGUCCAAUAAAUAUCUUCUGAUAAGUCAUAUAUCUCUAUUACUUGUGUUUAUUUGACAUUGGAAAUAUUUUCUAAAGUUUGAUGUUUUUAUAAAAUUGGUUUUAAGCAUGUUUUCAUACUGGAGCUCCACUUUAUGUUUUCAAAAGUCAUGGGUAGUUUUCUUGAGCAGCGAGGACGAAAACUCAUCCCUACAACAGUUUGUGGAUGCAUGUAUUGUGCACUGGGACAAGAUAAUGGCGAGGAGUUGGGUGUGCAUGUUUGUGAUCGGUAAUUUAUUUUCUAUGCUUACAUGUUUAUUUUUAGACUCAAGUUACAUGUUUAAAUUGUAUUCUGUUGGCCUUGUUAUAAUCUCAUCCGUGAUUCUAUUAAUGAAGCUUGUUAAUUACUGGCCAUUCCUUAUAUCAAGUUUUAUACGAACAUAAGAGUCUAAUCCUGAUAUGAUUUUGUCUUGUGAGACUCUCAUUGCAAUUUGUAUUCUUUUGAGUUCAUUAUUUCUUAACGUUUAUUGUGUUAGGUUUUAGACGAAUGACUUUACCUUAAGCAAAUUAAAUAUUUUUCUUUUACAUACACCUCAAAUAGUUUUACGCUUCCGUGGUGUUUGCUUAAAUGAUUUCUUAAAUAAACUGUCUUGCGUUUCUCUUGGUUUUUAUUUUAGAGACAUGCGGCACUGUGACGUGUCUAAACUAAGGAGGCGUAGUUUGGGGCGUUACAGAUUUAAUCUUUACACACUAUGAGAAUAUCAAAAUAUCACGAUAUUUGUGCAAAACUCACGAAAUCUUGUUAUUAAAUCAGCCGAAGUCAUCAUAUAUAGUCAUUAACUCGGGCCAAACUUAUAAAAUUAACACUAAAGUCUUGGCGCAGCUAACAUGAUUUGAACCCAGGUUGCCACAUGUUUGUAACAUCCUGAAAUUUCAAAUUUUUAUUUUUAAAAGGAAAGUUAUUUUUAUUUCGAUUUCUAUUAUUCUUUUAAAUUCUUUAUAGUUUUUGAAAAUUAUUCAAAUUUUGUUUUUGGAGCCCAUCGGAUUAAACUAGAGGCCGUGAUGAAUUUGUGGGAUUUUUCGGAACACCGUUUGGAUAUCGGAUAUAUUUUUAAUGAUUUUUAGAAGUUGGUAUUAUCUAAAAAUUUAAUUAAAAAUAGAAAAUCAAGGUCGGUCAAAUUUGGUCCGUCCAGAUUAUAUGGGUAUGGAUCAACUUGGACUUCAUUAUACCCAGUCCCAGACCGACUCCGUCUCCAGCCUCUAUCAGCGACGGAGACCUCCGGUCACUCCUCCGUUGUCCGGCCGUCUCCCGCCGCAAAACGACUGUCUACAGCUCUGUCUCGACGUCCCCGACCUCCCUGGGAUUCCAGCUUGAUGAGUGGAGCUCCGGAAAAGGAGGAGAGAAGGCGACUGUGUUUCCGAUCGGGUUUCCGAUUCCGGUGACGGCGGCGAGCGUGAAUGGUACUGGAAGCAUCCUCUCGUCCUCGUGGUCUUCCCUAUGUCCUCAGUUUCUUCAGAAGAGGUCGGGAGAGAGAGAUUCGAAGUGGAGAAGGAGAGGCUGGGUUCGCCGGCGAGUUUCCGAUUCCGGCCAAGUCGAGGUUUCUCACUGGUAUGAAUAGCUUCAUGUCGGUCUCGGGAACCUUUCCAUGUUGGUGGUUUUCGAAGAGAAGCUCGGAGGAGGGAGAAUCGAAGAGGAGAAGUUUCUGAAUUUUCCGGCGAGGGUUCGACGGAUUCCGGUGAAGCUUGAUGUCGACUCAGGUAUUAAAGUUGGUCUAUUCGAUGAGCUUUACAUGUUUCUAUAAUUGAAAUUGAGAUUGGUUGGGUGUUGGAGAAGUGGGAUUUUGGACAGGUUGUCGACCACCGUGUACGGCGGCGGCGGCGGUUGUUCUUGUAGUUUCUGGCUUUUGUUAAUACAUUGAUUGUGGAGGAGUGUUUUGAGAUGUAUUAGAAUUGCAGGAACAUGAGAAUUGUAUGAAGUUGGGUUUUGAGCAGUGUGGUGUGUGGCCACUGUUCACGGCGGCUAUGGUGGUGUUUUGAAAUCAGAAGACUUGUGUGAGGGAGAGGUUGAAGAUGUGUAUUAUGUUUGGUAUGAGUGUUCAUUCAAUUGGCUUUGGUAUUUGAGAGCAGGGUGCUACGAAUAUCUUGGUUUUGUGAUCAAAGUUGAAGUAAAGCAUAUAUGUUUGUAUGGUUGUGAGAUAUGGUGGUAACUGCAGCAAUGGAUAGUUGAUCAAGGUUCACAUGAUCUUGGAACAAAUGUCCAGUCGAUAACUUUAAGAUGUAAUUGGUAUUGCUAUGCUUGAACAAUUGUGUUUCGGUGGAUUGAAGAUUUGCCGGAAGGUGUGUAGUAAGAUGGGUGUCCAAAGUAAUUGAUGGAGACUGGUGUGUUCUCUUUUGAAUUAUUGUUAGAGAAAGAUGAUUAGAGGAGUUGGGUGUAAUGAACGUUAAGUUGGCUUUGCUGGGUUGUUGUGGAGUCUUAAGAGCAGUAUGGGUACGGGAACAGAAGAAUUGGAUUUUCAUUACUUUCAUAUGGAUUUGAUGUGUUGCUGGGGAGUAGGAAACAGUAAAGGAUUUAGGUUUGGUCAUGUCUGGGUUCGUUGAUAAGUUGUUAUGCCUACAAUUAAGACAUGAGAAGAUUGAUCAAGUUUGAGAUAGGCAAAUAUAAAGGAUUUAGUAGAAAAGAGGAAUUGGGUGUAGAGAGUAAAUUCGGUGCUUAGCUUGGUGCUUGGAGCAUGGUUGGGAUACGACUAAUUAUGGGUGGCGUGUGAUUUGGUAAUUGUCGGAAAAGGUGAGCGGAAUUGGAAAUAAAGAUUUUGAUCGUUUCUAAUUAAAGUGUUUGCCGACUUUAUUGGAACAAGGAUUUGAUGUGAGGGAGCAUGUUGCAAUCCGAGGAGCAGAAUGAUAAGGAUUUCAAAAUGCGUGCCGCGGUGUUAUUAAUUUUAGUAAGCGUCGGAGUCAAGGCUUGGAUUCCAGGUAGGGUCUCUCUCAGGGAACUUUUCUUUAAAUUGAUAAUUAGGUUAUUGUUGAAAUCGGUGCAUUGUGUGGCAUUGGUUGAUAUAACUCUUGGUUGUUAUCGAUUUUGUUAAAAGCAUGUGAUAUCGUUGAUUUAUAUGAAAUUAAUGUUAUUGCUUUCCGUAAAAGCAUGAGUUGAAUGUUAUGAUAUGAGUAUUGAUAUUCAAUUGACAUGCAUAAUGCAUUGUGAGGAAUUGUGAGAAGUGAGAUUGGUGAUUCUGGAGAUGAGAAAGAGAUUGAUAGAAUAGAUACAUUUUGUGUAGUUGAGUUUCCUCAUGGGUUGUCCAAGAUCCAGGGUAGUCCACACGUGCAUAAGUUCAGGGAAUGUAUGCCAUUUCGAUGGCGGACAUCGACAAAACAAUUUUAUCGGGUUUCGGGUUUGGAGACCAUGAGUAUAACAAGAUGAUUAACAAUAGAGGUACAAGCCAUAAGAUAUUACUGAUUAUUAGAUCAUAUAUUUGAGACAUUUGUGUCACCCCCGGUUGGUAAAAUACACGGUAUGGGACGUGUAGGCUCACAUAUCUUUGAUGUAUGGACUGAUAGCCAGUAAUUGAGGAAGACAUUCAUUAGCAUACAUGUAUCAAAUUGUCGUUAUUUAUUUAAAGUAUUAUUUGAUGUUUGAUAACUUGUUUGUGCGAUGUAGUUAAUUAUAACUUAAAAAGGUUUGGCUCUUUGGCCCUACUAAGCGUAAGCUCACCCCUAUAAACUUUUGUUCAGGUACGUUUGAGGACACGUUUUUCUAGAAGCGUAACUGUGAAGUUUAGCUGACGUGUACGAGAGUAGAAGAGUUACAGAAGAUUAGAAGUCAGAUAGAUCGUAAGGGCUUAUCUUUUUGUCUUUGUAAUUGUUUUUUGUUAUUGUAAACGUUUUAUUUUCUUUUAUUUCUGGAAAAGUAUUUGAAAUUGUUUUAUUUUCUUUUACUUUUCCCGCUCAUGUCUCGGGUACGGCGUCAGGUGCUUGGAAACCACCGACACCGGGUCCGGGGUUUGAUGUAUGGACUAGCCAGUAAUUGAGGAAGACAUUCAUUAGCAUACAUGUAUCAAAUUGUCGUUAUUUAUUUAAAGUAUUAUUUGAUGUUUGAUCACUUGUUUGUGCGAUGUAGUUAAGUAUAACCUAAAAAGGUUUGGCUCUACUGAGUGUAAGCUCAUCCCUAUAGAUUUUUGUUUAGGUACGUUUGAGGAUACGUAUUUCUAGAAGCGUAACUGUGAAGUUUAGCUGACGUGUACGAGAGUAAAAGAGUUACGGAAGAUUAGAAGUCAGAUAGAUUGUAAGGGCUCAUCUUUUUGUCUUUGUAAUUGUUUUUUGUUAUUGUAAACGUUUUAUUUUCUUUUAUUUCUGGAAAAGUAUUUGAAAUUGUUUUAUUUUCUUUUAUUUUUUCCGCUCACGUCUUGGGUACGGCAUCAGGUGCUUGGAAAUCACCGACACCGGAUCCGGGGUGUGACAAUGGUAUAUCUCACAUUCUCAACCAAUCCUCCUAAGGUGAUACUUGAUUACUACAUUGAACAUUUUAUUAUAAACUCUACAUAUAUUUUCAUACUUUUAAAAUUUCUUUUCGAAAUUUUAUUAAUAUUGAUAUUUUCUAAUAUUUUUAUCAAAAUAUCUAUUUUUCAGAUAGUCAAAAUUUUCUUGAAACGUGAUAUUUUUGUAAUAUAUCGAAAUUUCAAAUUUUUAUUUUUAAAAGAAAAAUUAUUUCCGAGCUAUUUUUAUUUCGAUUUCUAUUAUUUCUUUCAAUUCUUUGUAGCUUUCGAAAAUUAUUUCAAUUUUUAGUUUGUCAAAAUUUAUCUUUUGAGUCCAUAGGAUUAACGGAAGCGUUUUCGGACAUCGGAGCUAUUUUUAAUAAUUUUUAGAAGUUAAUAUCGUCUAAAAAAAAAAUAUUUUUAAACCCGCUUGAUCUGGACCGUUGGAUCAUUUAAACCGCAAGAUCUGGGCUGGGGGAGACUGGAUCAGAUCAGUUCAGACCCAGACUGGGUCAGCCUCGAUCCAAAUAGCAGCGACGGGUGACCGGACUGCCGCUUUGUCCUCCAGCGACGGCGUGGGGAAAUCAUGGCAGCUUCGGCUUCGUCUCGGUCGCCUGAUCCUAUCUGUGGUCUCGAUUUCGUCGAUGGAGCUUCGAUGAGAGAGAAUCGAAGAAGGGUAGCUUUUUCUGGGUUUGUCGACGAGUUUACUAUUUCAGCCACGGCGGCGAGCAUGAUCGGUCUUGGUAGCUUCACCUCGACCUGUUGAACAUUUCUUUGAAGAGAAGGUCGGAGGAGGGAGAAUCGAAGAGAAGAAGUUUUUAGGUUUUAGGCAGUGUUCUUGGUGUUUUCCGGCGACCUCGGACUUCAAUUCAGGUAUCAAAGUUGGUCGACUCGUCAAGCCCUACAUCUCUAUAUAAUUGGUUUUCAUUUUUGAUUAAGUUUUGAAGAAUCGAAGUUUUGGGGUUUUACUGUGCAAUUUGAGUUUUCCUGUUUGUGUGGUGAUUUUGGUUGCCUUGGGGCGUUCUUCGAUUGGAAUUGACUUUAUGAAGUUGAUUUGAUGAUCUUAAGCCCUUGAAUUACAUAAUUGGAAAAGUUGGGUUUUGGGGCAGUGUUGUUCGGCGAUGGAAGUGGUGGUUGAUGGUUCUGGGUUUGGUUUAUGUUUUAGAUGAAAUUACAAGAGCAUUAGAACUUAAUUAUGUUGUUGUGUCGCCUGGAUUCCAUAAACGGAGAAGUUGAGUGUAAGAAAAUUAGAGUUAUGCAAUUUGGAAUUGAGCUAAGAUUGGAGUAGAUGAUAGUAUCGGGUUUUCUGCUGAUUUUGGUUUAUUGUUUGUGGUGGUGACUGCAGUAUUCUUGUUCCAUUUCCAAUCAUAUGAAAGUGCAGGAACAUGAAUUUGGAUGCUUGAUUGGUAAAAGAUGAGUUUUGGGUGGUAGGAAAUGGAGCUGUGUUAUUGGAAUAGGGAGGGGAAGAUGGUUGUGUAUAGUACUAAUACUGAACUUGGCGGAGUUGAAGGAUGCAACUAAGAACUGUUGAUUUGCGAUAUGGAACUAGGAGCUUGAUUUCAAAUGGAGAAAGUGAGUAUUGGCAAGUGCAGGAGUAGGACAACUUGAGAAGUAUAAAUUGGCUAAAGAGCUUAUGGGUGUCCUUAUCAAUUUCAAAGACUGGAUUGCAUCGACUUGAAAUCAUCAGAGUGAAUAAAUGCGGAUUAAGGAACUCAUCUGGGUGUCUUAGUAGAUUUAUGAAUUCGGUCCGGUUGACUUAAAGUGACUUAAAUUUGGCUUAAAGUGAGUUUUGCGGAUUAAGGAUUCAGGGUGUCCUUAGUAAUUUUAAGAACAUGAUCAAUUUUGGAAAUUGAUUUAGUUUAUUUGAGGUUCGACGGCUUUCUCGGUAAGGAAUUGUGACGAGGAUCGAGUGACUAUCGACUUUUUCAGAAGCAGAAGGAUAAAGAUUUCAGAAUGCGUGUCGCUGAGUUAUUAGUUUUAAUUAGCGUCAGAACUAGCGCUCGGAUUUCAGGUAUGGUCUUUCUUGGGGAACCUUUUUUUAAAUUGAUAAUUAGAUUGUUAUUGAAAUUGGUGAAUUGUUUGUCAUUGAGUGAUUAACUCUUGGAUGUUACUGCUUUCUAUAAAAGCAUGUGUAAUCGUUGAGUUAUAUGAUUGUUAUUAUCGCUUUUCUUAAAAAGUAUGUGUUGGAUGAUAUAAUAUGAGUAUUGUUAUUCGUUGCAUACAUAAUGCAUUUUGAAGAAUUAUGAGAUUAGUGAGAUUGGUGAUUAUGGAGAGGUGAGAACGAGAUCAAAAUAUACAUUUUGUACAGUUGAGUUUCCUUAUGGGUUGUCCAUAAAUCUAUGUCAUCCCACUUGCGCAAAUGAGUGGGCAAAGUAUACUCCUUCGAUGGCGGACAUCAAUAAAACGAUCUUUCGGGUUUCGGUUUUGGAGAGUAUGAGUAUAACAAGAUGACUAACAAAAGAGGUACAGGUGAUGAGAUAUUACUGAUUGUUAGAUCAUAUAUUCGAGACAUCUGAGUCACCCAUGGUUGGUAAAAUACACUGUAUGAGACGUGUAACUGAGGAAGACAUUCAUUAGCAUAUAUGCAUCUAAUUAUCGUUAUAUAUUUAAAGUAUUGUUUGAUACUUGAUAACUUGAUUGUGUGACGACAUAGUUAAAUGUAACUAAAGAGGUUUGGCCCUACUAAGCGUGAGCUCAUCCCUAUAUACUCUUAUUCAGGUUCAUACAAGGACACAUAUUUGUAGAAGACUAACUGUGACGUUUAGUUGACGUGAACGAGAGUCGAGAAGGACUACCGAAGUUUCUAGUGAGCUAAACAACAAGACUAGUUUUACCUUUAUAGUGAGCUAGACUGCAAGACUUGUUUUGUCUUUAUAAUCGGUUUUGUUUUUUGUAAUCGUUUUAUUUUCGACUAUUUCGAGAAAAAUAUUUAAAAUUAUUUUAUUUUCUUUUAUUUUUCCCGCUCACGCCUCGGAUUCGGUGUUAAGUGUUUGGAAACCACCGACACCGGGUCAGGGGUGUGACAAUUUUAGUCCUUGGUUUGAUGCCUAAGCUACUUCGCUCCUCCAAACUGGGCCGGUGUUGGAUCAAACAAACAGAAACUUGAAAGAAGGAGUCCGAUACAAGUCAUACAACUACGUUGGUCGGAGCGGAUUUUACGCAUCAAGGUGCCCUUGCACCAUUAAUCUGUAAGUUUUUAAAUCUUCGUAUGCAAAGAUUUAAUGAAGACUAGAGACCUUAAAUUCUUUUCUUUCAUUUUUAUUUUUGACCUGAUCAAAUUAAACGCCAAUAAUUAGAGUACCUCUUAUUCAAUCUCAUGUCCUCAUCUCUUGUGUUGAAAACACUUUUGAUUAUUUUUUUGAGUUUUAAUUUUGUUAAUGGUAUUAAAAUACAUGCAUGAUAAUGCGACAUAGAUGAUCGGAUCAAAACAUUGCGUAUUAAUUGCUCGAUUCACUUGUAGAAGAAUUUUCGAGCUUCGGGCCAAUAUUCCAUUUUUCUUUUUAAUAAAAAAUUCUAGCAGCUAGACAGCUAGUUAACCAAUUGUGAAGCUACACAACUGGGACUUGCAGCGGAAAACAACUACCACGCGUUGCAUGGAGAGGUUAGGUCCUGCAUGCAACUCCGCCGCCCGUAAAUCUCCUACUGACAGCUCUACCCCUCGAUUUGCAGAUACUGAUGUAAAACCCGAGGACAAAACGGUAAUCGUUGAUACUCCGAGCCAGACAUAAAACUAUCCAAGAACAAAGAGGAGACACCACAGGAAAAAUGACCGGACCGCCUCUACCUCGACCCUUUCUAACGUGCUUGGUUGGUGUAGCAGUCUUAACCUGCGCACUAACCUUCUGUGUUGCCCUAGAUGUCACCCCCCAAGACCCAAUCAUCCACCAAGUCACAGACCAUGAUACUAACAAGCUCCUUGGAACCGAGAAAGAGUUCAAGAGUUUCAUGGAGAAGUAUGAGAAGAAGUACCCUACUAGGAAGGAGUACAUGCACCGGCUAGUUGUUUUUUCCAAGAACAUGAUCAGAUCCGCCGAGCACCAAGCUCUGGAUCCGACGGCGGUUCACGGCGUCACGCCGUUCUCGGAUCUGGAGGAGGAGGAGUUCGAGAGGAUGUACACCAUUCCUCGAAAAGUUAAAGUAAUCUUUUUUAGAAAUCGAAUGGAUUCGGUCUUAUACAUACGCAAGGAAGGUAAUAAAAAAAAAGAAAGAUGAGUUCUUUUAUCACUUAGGAGCUGUGCGAGAUAAAAGUCUCAUGCACGGUUUUGAAUGAGAGAAAGAAGUGAGGAAUCCUUUUUUCGACACUGACUCUCCCACUCCAGUUGUUGCUUUUUUUUUCUUUUUUUUCUGUUACUUCAAAAGUCGUUGCUUCAGUUUCAGCCACUCGAAUUUUCGAUGUUCUUUUUUAUUUCUCAUCAAACGAAUGGCAUUUUCUUCCUAUUACUCAAACAAGCAUGAAACGUAUGCUUGCGUAUUCGUCCAUAGGUCAAAUUGGAUAUGUAAUUAUUGGAAUAAUUGUUGGAGACUCAAAUGGUGGAUAUGUAAGCAUGAUAACUUAUAUGUUGUUCUAUAUCUCUAUGAAUCUAGGAACUUUUGUUUGCAUUAUAUCAUUUGGUUAGAGGUGCGCCCGGCUUAACCAACGGCGGAGGCGGUACGGGGAGCACGGUUGAGCUUCUGGAUGUUAGCGGGUUGCCUGAGAGUUUUGAUUGGAGAGAGAAAAAGGAGCUGUUACUGAGGUCAAGAUGCAGGUAGUUUCUAAUUUUCGUUUUAUUUCUGAUUUUUUAGGUUGGACACACAAUAUAUGUGAUUAACAGUUUCGGCCGUACUUAAAUCCUAGCUUUUUGCAAAUCAAGUUAUGGCACAUACGAUAUAGAAGUCUCGUAGCUGGUUGUAAAUUACUAAAUUGUGUAAUCUGAAGUCGAUCAGCUGAUCAGGUGCUGCUGGUUCUUUUGUUUAAUUGAUUGUAUAACUAGCUUGACUUUGAGAGUUUGAAGUUUUGUACAGAAAGAUUUGUCUAAUAGAGCUAGGGUGUUUGUGGAACAUGGAAUUAUUCUUCAGGCAAGGAGUUGUAUUGUGAUACUUAAAGCCUCUAAAUCUCUUGUUAUGGAUGCAGGGUGGCUGUGGGUCGUGCUGGACCUUUAGCACAACGGGAGCUAUUGAAGGAGCCAAUUUCAUUGCCACUGGGAAGCUUGUUAGUCUCAGUGAACAGCAGCUUGUUGACUGUGAUCACCAGGUAAUUAAGCCUAGCCUCUCUGGAAUAUAUUGAAGUACUCAUUUAACUUUAGGGCGAUAAAAAUUUAAUUGAUUGAGCAUAUAUAUAAUAUUUGGCAUGCCUACUUAAUUAGUUUCGUUUAAUGUUUGUGGCAACUAUAAUCAAGUGUGAUGCAAAAGAGAAAGAUGCAUGUGAUCGUGGUUGUGGUGGCGGACUUAUGACAAAUGCCUACAAGUAUCUAAUGGAAGCAGGAGGGUUGCAAGACGAGGUUUCAUACCCUUAUACGGGGAAAAAGGGCGAAUGCAAAUUUAAUCCUGAAAAAGUAGCCGUGAGAGUAACCAAUUUCACCACUAUUCCCCUUGAUGAGAAUCAGAUUGCAGCGAACUUGGUCCACAAUGGUCCUCUUGCCAGUGAGUACUAAACCUGAUAAUAUGCUUAAAAAUAGCUAGGCUUUUUAUGUAUCUAUGUGUGCGUACAUAGAACUGCCUUAAGUGUCUUAUUUUCUGAAUAUGAUGUGCACUGUUUAGCAUAUUUAGAUCUGAGUGUAGAUACACCCCACUGAUACAGAAUCUUAAUUGAUGUAUGUAUGCGCAGUUGGCUUGAAUGCUAUGUUCAUGCAAACCUACAUUGGCGGUGUGUCAUGCCCUCUUGUUUGUUUCAAGAAAUGGGUGAACCACGGUGGUUCACUUGUUGGAUAUGGUGAGAGUGGCUUCUCGAUUCUCAGGCUCAGCAACAAGCCGUAUUGGAUCAUCAAGAAUUCAUGGAGCGCAAAAUGGGGAGAACAUGGUUAUUACCGACUUUGCCGAGGCCAUGGCAUGUGUGGGAUGAAUACCAUGGUGUCUGCAGUUGUGACCAGUACGCGGGCAUCCUAGCUGCAUCUCCCGAGAUUAGCUAGUAUAUAAUUAUACACUAUAAUAUUAUAUGCACCUCUCCCUUGUUUUUUCUUAAUCCGAAUUUGAUGUUCCUAUAAUCAUAUUUCAACAAUAUUAUUGUUAAUAUGCCGAAGUGGAAAGUCUUGUUUACGUCAAAACCAAUUCGAACUAUAUUUUGUUAGCUUUAAAUGCUAGAUUGUCAGACUUCAAAUUUAAGUCGGAAAAAUUUUACAAUAUGUUAAUGCAUGUUAUGCAUCAAUUUUAUCCUAAAAUUGUAAAAUGAGUCUCUAAAGUAGUAAUAUUAGUCCUUGAAGUUGUAAUAUAUACGAGUAGUUGUAAAUUUUAAAGUUACAACAUUAGUUAUCAUGUGUCCUUAAAGUAAAUUUUACAGUUACAACAUUAGUCAUUGUGUCUUUAAAGUGAUAAAAUGCGUGCUUAAAGUGGUAAUUGAAUCCUCAAAGUGAUUGAAAAAGUUUUUAUAUCUUUGAGGAUUUGUAUUACAACUUUGAGGAUUUGUAUUACAACUUUGAGGACUCAGUUACCUCUUUAAGGACACAUAAGGAUUAAUAUUGUAACUAAUUUUUUUACAACUUUAAAGACUUAUAUUACAACUUUAAGGACUAGCUAAUAUUACUACCGUAAGACUCGAUCAUUUUAUAACUUAAGAGCAAAGUUGAUACAUCACAUGCAUUUUUUUUUUAUUGGUUAAUGAUCGAGGAUAGGCGAAUAAUCACCUAUCACUCUAUGUUAUUAAUAAAAGAAAAAAGAAACAAAGGAGGGGGAUCAAAACCAAAACAUCCUAAAACAAAUGACAGACUAGCUGAAACGAAAUUGAGGCAUACCUCUAACAUCGUUAUUAUAAGACAAUAAUAUGAAAGGUGGAGGCUCAUCCCACCAUAUCAAUUCAGAGCAUGACGUACCUUGAUUUGCCAGAGCAUCAGCUAUCUUAUUCCCUUCACGAAAAAUAUGAGUAGCCUUGAAAUUCAUUUUAGAGAUUCGGUAUAAGCAAUUCAACCAACGAACUCGAAGAGGCCAAGGAACAAGAGAAGGUCUGCGAAUAUAAUCAAGUACCAAAGAUGAGUCAACUUCCAACCAAAUAUGCUUCCAAUCACGAACCCAAGCAAGCUCAAUAGCUUUAAUAACAGCCAUUAUCUCCGUUGAAAUUGAACUAGGAAUUUCAAGAUUAGAGGCAAAAAGCACCUAGAAAGUGGCCCUUGUAAUCUCUAAAAAUAGCACCAUAACCACCCACUCCCUCUUCAUGCUUCCAAGAGCCAUCAGAAUUUAUCUUCACCCACCCAAGAGAAGGAGGAAUCCAAUUAACUUCAACCACUCUAGGAGUGGCACGAGGUCGACAUGGGGCUCCAAAACAUUUCAAAAUUCGUAGCUCCUGGACACUGUUAUGCAUAUGACCCGUUGUAAGAUGACUAGUGGCUCUUAUAUGACUUGAUAUUAGCUUGCAAACAACUUCAACUGAAAAGCGACAACCAUCAAAUCUGGUUUUAUUUCUCACAUGCCAAACAAACCACAAAAUGGAGGUAAAGCAAAUAAGCCAUAAUUCCAUUAAUUGAGGACUUCUUCCAUUCUGCAAACCCAACCCAUAAAGCUCCAAAAUAGAAGAAGGAAUCAUACCUAACUCAAAAAUAGAGCCAAAGUGACAGAAGAGACGCCAACGGCACCAACACCCAAAGCCAAAGGUAAAGUGUUCGUCAAAGGACUCCACAAUUCCAAGAAUGCUUUCCAUGUGCUCGUGCAAUAAUGGUAAGGAUAUCGAGAGACGCCAACGGCACCAAAUAUUCCAGCUUGAUUCAAUACGCCUUCAAAAUUGGCUAAUAUGAAUUCUGUCCACUCCAUUACGCCUAUCUCAAGUGUAGCACAACCCCGGAAACAAAGGCUCGAAGACCAAUCUUGUUUGGUGUUUAGCAUCCUGUGAAGUAUCGGGUAAAAAUUCUCUUCGAAAGUGAAAAGACCUCCAUCAUGUCUGUUAUCAACCUUCUCCAAAGUAUGCCCCUUAAAUACAUGGGAAAAGUUGUGGGUUGUUCUUAUCACUUGAUCCUCCAAAUCUUGGCGAAAUGUAAGAAAGCCUGAGUUCAUUUCAACUUCUGUCACCAAGGUAAUGAUGUCUUUAGGAGGGACAUCAACAUGAAUGGAGCUUAAAGGCUGUGAUCUCACGUACUCUAUGCCCUUUCCAACAACCUGCCUGUGUUUGUCCAAAGCUGCCUCGCGGGAAAUUCGACCAUAUGCAUCCAUUACCUGAGAUUAUAGCACGCAGAGAUGUUAAAAGCAAGCAAUAGCAAGUCAAGCUUUGCGCGAGAAAAGCAAGUUCCACGUACAAAGCUUGAGGGGGCACUGUUGAUACCAAAAAAAAAGGAUUACAGAAAAGGAAAAAAAUAAAUAAAAUAAAUAAAUGGAAGAGUAUUUAUUCAUGUCAUACUCUUCCGUUGGUUUUGAUUACACGCACAAAGCUUUUGAGUUCAAUUACAACUCUUGCAAGCAGGUGCUUGGAUAAGAACAAAUCAGUACGAGCACCAGAGUUUGAUUGUAACUCAAUUAUCCUAACCAAGCACUCUAUAUAAAGAGGCCAAUACCUUCAAAAAAAAAAAAAAAANAANNNNNNNNNNNNNNNNNNNNAACACCAACGGGAGGAGGCAGGCGGGCAACAAGGAGGAUCACAAAGGAGCGGUUCAUUCUUUACAAGGUUCGGAUGGAGAGUUCUCUUUCUCUUUGCGCAGCUCUCUUUAUGUUCUGUUGAUGGAGGCAUCACUGCCUUCAUAUUCCUCGCAGAUGGCCUCUGGUGUUCUUGGUUACUAUUGUUCCUGGUCACCCAAAUCCCUUGCGGAUCGAUCUGGUUAUUAUAGUUACUGUGUUCUGUUGGUUACUUGGUUACUACUGUGUUCUCUUGGUUACUUGGUUACUCAAAUCCCUUGUGGAUCGUUCCUGGUUACUCGUUACUUGGUUACACAAAUCCCUUGCGGAUCGUUCCUGGUUACUUGUUACCCUAAACAUUGGUUACUGGAUACUAUGGUUACUGGAGACUAAUGGCUACUAUGGCAAUGGUUCUAUGUUACAAUGGUUAUAUGACACUAUGGUUACUAUGAUUCUGGUUCUAUGGCUACUGUAGCACUAUGGUUACAAUAUGGUUCUGGUUCUUUGGGUACUUUGACACUGGUUACUAUAACAGAUCGGUUGCCCUUUGAUCCUACAAAACCAAACACAAAACCAAUACUCAAAAUUCCACCACAAAAGGCCAUUGUUGUCCCUGUUCCCUGUUAACCACCACAGCCAAAUACCUUUCCAAAUUCCAUGUUUCAAGCACCAACUCAAAUACUGUGCAAUGAAACUAAAAGAGACAAUAACAGAGGCUUACCCUCAAACUAUGACAAUCGAUCUAUUCCGAUACUACAACUACUACCUGUGUUUCAUACCUUCAUGCUGUAGCAGGAAUGGUGAUGAUAUUGCAAAAAGAGAACAGCAAGUUCCUGUCAAGUUAACCUCACAAAAACAUCCGAGCAAAGAGAGUCAUUGAUUCUUUGGCUCUGUCCCUUUAAAAAAAACAAAGGGGGCUCGGUGAGUUUUCUCAUGAUUCUUCUCCAAUAUCACAAGAUGACAAGAAUCAAGCUUGGCGGUGACCCUCCCAAACAGAGAAGGCUUACUCAAACAUAAAUAUGCAUUCACCACCAUGGAGUAAAACAAAAGAAGCAAACUUAAUUAAACAAGUUUUGUUUCUGGAAGUUCCAAGGCAGCGAGCCGAAUACACCCACAGUCAAAUAAAUUGGAGCUAAGAAGUUUAGAGUCUCAAAGCAAAAGACGUGUUCUUCCUCAAAUUAAAGCCUGCAAAUUGAAGCCUGCAGCAAAAUUAACCUACUCGAAGCUAAGCUCAUCCAUUCGACGCUAAGCUAAUCUACUCGAAGUUAAGGAAGCGAAGGAUAAUUAAUUUUGCCAUUGAAGAAUUGUAACAAAGCACCUAUCCAACACAAGGCAGUAACCAAAUUGAACGCUACCUGUGAAGAAACAAGCUUUUGACCAGUGGGAAAUCCUUCGAAAUUACUCUGAAGCAUAAUGGAGAUACUUUCGUCAUGAGGGUAUUUGAAUUGUAGGGAUGAAAGCAGGAACACAAUAGGGGUUAUCCUUACCCAAUUUCGCACAGUGAGAAAGAGCACAGCAAAUCUCAAGCCUCCCAGUGUUGAUAAAUUUCUUCUCGGCGACUUAGGAGCACUGCCAUCACCAAGUCGGUUGCUGCGCCAACCCCUCUCCAUUUGAUCAGUUUCGGCCUUCAAGUUCUUCUGGGUUACAAUAAACAAGGCAGCAGAAGAUCAAAAGAAAGAAAAGAAAUGAAGAAUGGGGAGAGGGAAAGCUAACGGGCCUCCACAUUGACGGAUGCUACUCACAAGCAAGGCCCAUGUCAAAUUUGGGCCCAUCUGAAAAGUUCAACGAGGCUCAAUAUAUGGGUGUUCAAAUCAAAAUACCCAAACUUCGGUUUCGUUUAAAAAUUCUUCGGAACCCGAAUGAAGUUGCGUUUGGUACAAAACCAAGAAAUACUCAAAUACCCAAAUUUUUGAACUACAAUGGUUUGAUCCCUUCACAGGGUAUGUAGGCAGUCCAGAUUUAAAUCUGGAUAUAACCACAUUUAAAGCCAAAUCGUUGGUUCUUUCCAAGCCAAAUUCUAAAACACAUAACCAAACCUUUCGACAAGUCAUCUACUUCGUCGAAACCCCAAAAGCCAUAAAACUUGAACUACGAGUGACUUGAUCCCUUAUGGGGUACGUAGGCAGCCUGUAAAACAAAUCGGGUGCAGUCGCAAUUCCCCUCGAACACACAUUCCCCAUUUGUUACUUUGUAAUUAGAAUCAAAGGGUCUUCCCCCGAAAGCAAGGGUUGUAAUUAAGAAAUUUAUUUUAUUUCGAAUGGGUCGAACCAGACAUAAUUAAAACUCUAUUUUAAUCAAUGAGAUAGAGUGAAAUUGUGUUGGGUAUAUUUAUUUACAAUUUUUGCUCAACAUAGUUUUUGGCGACUUCACUGGGGACUCUCAACUGGUCAUCAGACAAAUAAAUGACGAGUAUGCAGUCAAAAAUGAGAACCUUAUAUCAUACUACCAAAGAGUUAAAUAUCUCCUGGGACAAUUUCGAGAGAUAUAUGUUGGCCACAUUCCAAGAUCAGAGAAUGAUAAAGCAGACGCAUUGGCUAACUUGGCAGCUUCUUUAGUACUUCCUGAAGAGAAAGACAUCCAAAUAACAGUUGGAGAACGUCGAUUGCAGUCCUACGUCACUUGAACGAAUGGAAGCUACCAAUGAAACAAAUGUAGUUUCUGUGUUCGAAACUGAGGAAGAAUCUGAUUGGCUCAAAUUGAUGCAGUGAACGAGCAAGAGAGGAAAGUAUGAUUCAAAGUCUCCGAGCAAACACCACAAAGCUCACAUCUAGAAACCCAAGGAAUACCUCGACGCUGAAGUAAAACAUCAGAAAUAACUCUACCUCUUAACACCUUCCAUGCUAGGAAAGACAUUCUUGGCAGAAUAUAUUUAGCCCAUAAUCUCUUACCCCAAAUUACUGGAUUAGAAGAAUGCCGCAUAAAAGUAUAGGCUUGUUUUGCGGUUAACUCAUCGGAGGCUGAAGAGGUCCAUAUAAGUUUGUCAUUAACUGAAGGAUCUUCUGACACAGGGACUUGAUUGAUCAUACCACAUAAGGCUGGGUAGUGCAACUGUAGUAAUGGAGGAAGAUUCCAUGAACCAUUGUCUAUAUAUUUUGACACCAAAUCCGAGUUAUCCUGCAUCAACACAUUAGAACCAAAGAACUCAUUUAUUGGCCUACCCAUAAACUUGUCGCGCCAAAAGUAAAUUCCAUUCCCAGAACCAAUGAACCAUUGAGAAUUAUCUUGAACAGUCUUCCAGAAUUGACGAACACCAGGCCAUAUAGAAGAAGGAGCAUAAGAUUUCCGUCUAGAGAAACGAUUGCGAAUAAAAGCACAACCCUCAGAUUGAGCUGUAUAGAUUUCCCAGCAACGUUUCAAUAAGAGAGAUCGAUUAAGCAGAACUAGUUGUUUGAGCCCCAAGCCACCUUCUGCAAUUGGGGAACAACAAGACUUCCAAGCCACAAGAGGGAUCCCUCUUUUAUCAAUUGAGCCAGACCACAGAAAGUUUCGGCACCAUACCUCAAUUUUUCGCACCACAGACACAGGCCAUUCAUAUACUUGAAAAAUGUAUACCAACAUGCUAAAAAUAACAGACUUGAUAAGCUGCAAACGUCCUGCCAUUGACAAAAAAGAACUCACCCAACUCGAUAACUUUAUCCUUAUUUUGUCAACAAUCUGAUGGAAAUAAGAAGCACGAGGUUUGCCAUGAAAAAUAAGGGCACCCAGAUACAUGAAUGGAGCAGACCCCAAGGGAAUACCCAAGAAGUUCGAAAUAGAAUGCCGCCUUGAAUGUAUACUAUUUCCAAUAAAAACCUGAGACUUCCCUUUGUUGAUAACUUGACCUGAAACUCUACCAUACUCAUCGAAGAACCGCAUAAUCCGCGAUAAAUUCCGCCUAUUGCCCCGAAAAAAAACAAUAACAUCAUCUGCAAAUAGGACAUGAGAUGGAGCAAGAGUAUUUCGUGGAGAAGAGAUACGCUGCAGUUGUCCCGAUGAAACAAGUAAAGAGAUCCCACGACUAAGGACUUCUUCUGCUAAGCAAAAGAGCAAGGGAGAAAGAGGGUCACCUUGACGCACACCCCUUUCACAAGAAAAAUACCCCACAGUCCUCCCAUUAAUCAACAGAGAAAGCUUGGCUGACAGAAGCAAGGCACGCACCCAUUGUACAAAGAUCGGAUCAAACCCAAAAGCCUGAAGAACAUGAAGAAGAAAAUCCCAUGACAGAGUAUCAAACGCCUUUGUAAUAUCAACCUUAAUUGCAAGGUUACCCCCCAUGACAUUUUGAGUUCAACAAAUUAAAGCACUCUGAAGUAGUUAAUAUACAGUCUGAUAUGUUCCUCCCUGCAACAAAAGCAUGCUGUUGAGGAGAAAUAAUACGAGAUGCCACUGAUGCCAACCGGAUAGCUAUGAUCUUUGGGAUAAUUUUAAACACAAAGUUGGUGAGGGCAAUAGGCGAAACUGCUUUAUGGAGUCGGCAUGAUCAACUUUGGGGAUUAAGAUGAUAAUACCUGAGUUAAAGGAAGGAGCCAAAUAACCAUGUUGAAAAAAUACUGAACAGCCUUAACAACAUCAGCACCAACAACAUCCCAGCAAGAGACGAAAAAAUGGCCAUUAAAUCCAUCUGGCCCCGGGGCACUAUCAGGAUCCAUUGAUUUGACAGCUGCCCAAAUUUCCUCUGAUAAUGGAACACUAGUAAGCAUCGUAUUUUCCUCAGGAGUUACCAUAGAGUGAAUCACUUUGGACACCAAGCCACUAUCUUCAUACUCUGCAUGUUUAGUAAAAAGAUUUUUGUAAUAAUCAACUAUAUGAUUUUGGAUAUAAUGAGGAUCCUGAAGCACCUGAUCUCCAUCACGAAGCAGAGUAAUAGAAGAACGAUUUCGGCGCACUUUACACAAAGCAUGAAAAUAAGAAGAAUUACGAUCACCUUCUGAUAACCAUCGCAACCUUGACUUCUCACGCCAAAGAAUUUCCUGAUGCAGAAUAGACUCAUUCAAAAUGGCCUGCAAUUCAGUCUCUUUUUCAAACUCUUCAUCUGAUCCCCCAGAAGCUGCAAUUUUAUUUUGAAUAUCAGCAAGGGCUGCAAGGUCAAACUCAACCCGACGGUGAACAUCCCCAAAGACCUCCCAGUUCCAAGUACGGAGAGAUUUCCUUAAGGUACGCAGCUUAUAUUGCAGGACAGAAUAAGGACAACCAAACGAAGUAGUAGAGGACCAACAUCCUUUGACAAAACUCAUAAAAUCCUUAUGCUCCAACCACAUUUUUCUAAACCGAAAGAGACUAAAACGAGACCCUGUAAACUUAGAAAAGGACAUUAGUAGUGGAUUAUGAUCAGAGCAAGUUCUGGGUAAGGUGCAACAGUCAAACUGAUCCCAUUCCUCCAUCCAAUUCAAAUUAGCAAGACUUCUAUCUAAUCUUAGCUCCACAUUACCACGAAAACCACGCCGUCUCACCCAUGUAAACUCUGCCUCUUUAGUAUCUACAUGAAUAAGUUCACAAACAUCUGACAUUGUCUGAAAUUCCUCACAUGAUCGCCGACAUAGAGGAGCACCUCCUUUCUUUUCAUGAGCACCAAGAACUGCGUUAAAAUCUCCAAAAACCAACCAUGGUCCUGUAACAAAACGACCUUUGAAAUCAGUAAUAUCUUCCCAUAACUUCCGGUGGCCAGAGAUUGUGGUACGAGCGUAGACAGCUGUAAGAAAACAGUUUACCGAAUCAAACAUAACUUGUAAAGAAACCUGCUGAUCCGAGGUAGACAACACCCGAAUCCAUGGAGCCAGAGAAGUCUUACAAAAAACCCAUAGAUUAGGUAAUGCAGAACCCCGGUCAUUUGCACCAACAAAUCGCAUGCCUAACGAACGCCAAAAGAAUAGAGGAAUUGAAGUCAAGGCAACGAAAGGCUCAGCUAUACAUAAAACUUCCAGGUUGUGAACCCGUACAAACUGUUUCAAAGCAUCUUGAGUGGGGACAUUAGCAAUGCCCCGUAUGUUCCAAUAAAGAACCCUCAUUUAGGAGUGUCUUUGGAGCGACGGAGAUAGGCUUCCCUAUUCUCCUUCGAAGCAGCCUUCCUCUUUUGAGACCUGGACAUAACAACAGUAAAACCAUCAUCAAUGUCAACUCGUUCUGUCUCCUCAUACCAGCUAUCAAUUCGAGUUACUGAAUUUGCAGCAACAGCAACCCCAAUGUCAGAAGACUGCUCAUGCAUACUACCACCGGCAGAGUCAUCUUCACUAUUCUGCUCGUUCUGAUCAAUUGCAUACCUAGUAUCAUCUUCUUGCUCAACCACAUUACCAUGGAUAGCUACUGGUACCAAAACCACAUUCACCCCCGGCUCAACCACUUCUUGGACAGGUGCCACCACUUCCACUAGCGGUUCCGGCACAACACUAGAUAUCACUAGUUGGCCGACCGGUGCUGGAGACUUCUGCACAAAGGAAGGACCCUCACCAAAAUCUUCCCUGGGGUUUGGAGUUGAAUCAAUAAUCAUGCUCUUACCUCGAUCUGCUGGAUUAGAUGGGUUUUUAGGCACAUACACUUUGGAGACUCGUUGCUGAUCACGGUUCCUGCGAGAUCGUCUACUACGCUUGCGCGAUCGACCUCUGCCUUUCUCAGUCUCAUUAUCCAUUGGAACCGGGUCAGAAGAUCUAUGCACAUACUUGCAAGCUGUGACAAGGUGCCCAACGUUGCCACAAUGAGCACAAAUAUGUGGAAGCUUCUCAUAAUCCACAGUCUGAACAAAAGACGAACCGCACUUACGCUUGACAACCAAUUCAUGCGGUGGAUCAACAGAGAGAUCAAUAUCAACCAAUAUUCUAGCAAAUAGGGUUCUAGGUUCCCAAAACUCAAGCCCUAGAUCCUAAAACCUCACCCACACCUGAGCAUUAGUAUUACGUUGAUUCGCUGGGGAGAAAUUUGGAACCCAUCGCAUGAAACGCAAGAAGCCAGGCUUGAGAGCAAUUGCACCCUUUACCCAGACUGUAGAGAGAUCCUCAUCCGUAGAGAAGCUAAACGUGAAAUAACCUUUUCCCAUGGGAAUAAUCUUCCAAGCCCCUAGACUUCCCCAAAGAAGAGAAAGCUUAUGAGACAGAUCUGAUGCAGAGUAGGGUUUAUCCCUCAAACCCAAUUGCACCCUUCCGAUUAACAUAUGUUUACAAUUAUCCAAACCCGAUUGAUAGCCCUCUUCUGAAAUAGUAACAGUUGUCUUGCCAUCUAAAAUCUCAGGAAUAGGUAGAUCAUCAAUUGGGAUGAAAGCUUGCGCCGCCGCCGCCGCAUAAGAUUUCGUCGGCUUCGCAGCCCCCUCGUCGAGAAAAGACCACGGGCAGAAGGGACGAUGCUGAACAGCCAUGACGUCGUGAAGCAAACGGAACUCGAAUUCAAGGAUUUACUGCAGGGAGGCUCCAGCACGGGGAAACCCUAGCAGAGCCAUCACCAACAUAAUGUAACUCGAUGCAUCACAUCCAUUAACACACUAUAGUCUUACCUUUUAAGUUGAGUCAAUGCAAGAGUUGCACUAUUUAGACCAUUUGGUUCUUCCGAAAAUAUGUAUUAUAUUUUUGAGAAUUUCAACGUCUGUAGUAGAGUCGACGAGGAUUUUAGAUUUGAUUUCGUCGAUGGCGUUGUCGAGCUAUUGCGUCAAUAGGAUGAUGAAGAGCAACCGGAAUCACCUCUCUUCUGACGCAAUUUGUUUUUCAAAGAUCUGGUCCGUUGCACUGGCCGGUCGAAGCCUUUUCAGUUCUCAAAACAGUUCAGAAACUACAGGUCUGAUAAUGAAAUGCAUAAAACAUUUAUAACUAUUGGUAAUUUAUAUCCUAGAGUUGUUCGAGUGUACUAACCACAGGAAAUAACGAUCUAGCUAGACUACCUUAUUUUCGUUAGGGCUGCUCUAAUUAGUCAACAUAUGCAGCUAGGUGAUGAUAAACUUACCCAAUUCGUUGUGAAAAUAAUUGAACCAUCAGUAGCCGUGAUAGUCCUUACGUACCUGCCCUUUCAUGAGCCUUAAUAUUUGGUGGCUUAUUAGCUACGCACUAAUGGUAGUUAAUUGUGCUUAUUUUGUGCAUGUGUGUUCUAAUACAAUUACCUACCUAGUUCUAAUUGUUCUAAUUCGUCGUGGAAUGUUUUCAGAGGAGAAAACUGAAUGGGGUAGCAUAGAGCCCUAUUACAAAAUAAUGUAUCUAUAACCUUCUCUAAUUUACAUAGUAAUUGACGCAAUUUGGCCGAACUGUUUCUGAACACACUGCUUCAGUUCUUUAUAAACCACGUACCAUAUGUAUGUAUUCAAGUGUCAGAUAUACUGAACCUACAUCGCCAAAAUGGAGAGAAUUCAGGUCAGUAUAAUUUCCAAACACACCGUCAAACCAUCAGCUUCCUCUUCACUACUUCGGGAUUGUCUAUGGUACAGCGCUGUAUGCCAUACAUCCUCUAACAGGACUUGUGUGCACGUGCCUUGCAGUGGGGGUGGGUGUUUUGUUUUGAAAUUUUUAGCCUUGAAAGCAGGCUGCAUAUCAUGCAGGGCUGCAGAUAGAAUUUUCCCUGAAUAUCACGCAUAUCAGCGCUGCAUGAUAUGUAUGAUUGUCUAUGGUACAACGCUGCAUAUCAUGCAGCGCUGCAUUAAAGCAGACUGCAUAUCAUGCAACGCUGCAGGAUAUGCAGCCUGCUUUCAAGGCUAAAAAUUUCAAAAUAAAACACCCCCACCUGCAAGGCACGUGCGACACAAGUCCUGUUAGAGGAUGUAUGGCAUACAACGCUGUACCAUAGACAAUCCCACUACCCUACUUCAGCCUUACAAGCUUACCCUGCUCGACCAGCUCACUCCUCCAUCGUAUGUCCCCAUGGUAUUCUUCUACCCCAUUACUGGCCCUGCAGUCUUCAAUCUUCAAACCCUAGCUGACUUAAGACAUGCCCUUUCCGAGACUCUCACUUUGUACUAUCCACUCUCUGGAAGGGUCAAAAACAACCUAUACAUCGAUGAUUUUGAAGCCGGUAUCCCAUACCUUGAGGCCCGAGUGAAAUGUGACAUGACUCAUUUUCUAAGGCUUCCAAAAAUCGAGUGCCUAAAUGAGUUUGUUCCAAUAAAACCAUAUAGUAUGGAAGCAAUAUCUGAUGAGCUUUACCCCUUGCUUGGAGUUCAAGUCAACAUUUUCGAUUCUGGGAUAGCAAUAGGUGUCUCCGUCUGUCACAAGCUCAUCGAUGGCCGAACGUCAUACUGUUUUCUCAAGUCCUGGGGUGCUGUUUUUCGUGGGUGUCGUGAUGAAAUCAUACAUCCUAAUCUCUCUCAAGCAGCAUUGCUUUUCCCACCGAGAGAUGACCUGCCUGAAAAGUAUAUAGCUUUGAUGGAAGGGUGGUCGAUUGCCGUAAAGAAAGUUGCUACAAGGAGAUUUGUAUUUGGUGCGAAAGCCAUAUCUGCAAUUCAAGAUGAAGCGAAGAGCGAGUCCGUGCCCAAGCCAUCACGAGUUCAGGCCGUCUCUGGUUUUCUCUUGAAACAUCUUCUCUCUGCUUCUCGGGCAUCAUCAUCAGGUAAAUCAGUUUAUGUGUCUUCUUAAAAGUGCACCACAUGCAAUUGCGUGAUUGGCAAAGGAGGGCUAGGCGUGAUUAAUUAAGCUAGAGAAGACAAGGUUUUUCCAUUAAUUGUUAGUGAGGCUUGCUCAAAUGCGAGCGUACAAGAGUUUUCAGUAGCUUUAUUUCUGCUGCUUAGGUUAUACCGGAUUUGUUUUGUAAGUUAGAAAAAUACAACUUAUUGGAUAUUGUUAUAAGCAUCUAAUUAAUGAUAUGAAUGAAAAAGAAAAAAGAUCGUACACUUAACAUUUUUCUGCUAUUAUUUCAUACUUAUUUUAUAUUUUUGUAUUACAUAUACUGUACAUAGCUUAAAAAUGAGAAAAUAUAUGAACUUUUGCAGGUACUACUUCAACAAAACUUUCUAUAGCAGCUCAGGUAGUGAACUUAAGAUCACAGAUGAACAUGGAGACAACGUUGGGUAAUGCCAUUGGAAACCUGAUGUGGUGGGCUCCGGCCAUACUAGAGUUAAAUCAUAAAGCACGAGAGAGCAGCGAUCCUAAGCUGUGUGACUUGGUUAUCUUGCUCAAUGAAUCUGUCAAACAAUCUAACAGUGAUUACUUCGACACUUUCAAGGGUAAAGAGGGAUAUGGAAGAAUGUGUGAGCAUCUAGAUAUGGAGGGGACUGUAAGUUCUGUAGAACCAGCACCAGAGAUAUAUUCAUUCUCGAGCUGGACUAGAUUUUUCGACCAAAUUGAUUUUGGAUGCAUGGGGGAGGUCAUCUUGGAUUGGAGUUACCGGAAAACAAUCUGCAUAUUGGAAUUCCACAGUUUUAGUACCAACACAAUGUGAUACUGGAAUUGAAGCGUGGGUGAAUCUAGAUGAAGAGAAAAUGGCUAUGCUAGAACAAGAUCCCCAGUUUCUAGCAUUAGCAUCUCCAAAGACCCUAAUUUCAAGGUAUUGAUUAUGAAAGAUUAUGUGGCUCGUGCAAUGUUUCCAUUUGCAGUGAAUAAGGAUUAAAUUAGUUCCCCGGCCAAUUAAUAAGAAGCAAGGUAUGAUAGACUAUGGCUACGUAUGUUAGUAUGUUAUCCGAAUGUGCUUCGUUAUGCUUUUAACCAAUAUAGCUCUGUUUUGUAACAAUGCUCUAUUGAGCUUCUAACUAUAGAGUUAUUUUUCUUGAUUAGAAAAAGAAACUAUGCAAGUUUUGUUUUGUUAAGCUAUUCUGUUUCUAAAAGAAAGGCUAUUCUGUUUCUAAAACGGGAUGCAUGUAUUACCUAAAAAGAUGAUUCACCUAUAAUUAUUUUUCAAGUAAAUGAUUAUUUGAUAGCAAUCACGCCGUGUAUUUCUAUAGCUAAAAUUGUAAUUUAGAUCAGUGACAACAUGAUUAAAAGUUACAUAUUCUGAUACAUUUGUUAUUUAACGACAAGUGUGGCCAUAAUGCCUCACCUAGUCACCUAAUGCGAAGACCUCUACGAGAGACUAAUGUCGUCUGAUCUUCUUUUCUUAAUCAAAAGAAACGAAAAUGGCCACAAUGCCUCACUAUUCAUAGAACCAUACAAUAAUUUGGAACAUAUGCAUGGAUGCAAAGAAAAAUAACACAAGAACCAUCAUAAUUUCACAUUAUAUGAGAAACUUAGCCAAAUCCGAAUCACAUCCAUGUUGGCCAAGAGUGACUAAAGAAGACCACCCAGAAAGCUAGAAAACCAUAAAAUCCAGAAAACUUGAAUAAGCUAGGGAAAAAACAAAAAUGUGACAUUCCAUUUCUUCUUGCGGUUUUGUUAGGCCAAAUCAAAAUCUCAAUGACCCUGCAAUCAUUUACACACACUCUUUCUCAAUCUCUGCAAAACUGACUGCUUCCCCUGAAAACUUGCGCAAUAGGGUACCUAGCUCUCUGGCCUUUUCUUUCUAAUGCACAAUUUAUGGCUUUUGGUAAUGAUGAUUUUAUGCUUGUGGAUCUCAGAUGGGUUUGUUUUGUUUUGGGAUUUUUAUAAAUGAAUGCAUUGAAAAUGUUGAAAGCUUAUGCCUUUGUUCCUUGGUUCAGUGUUCUGGUUUUGUGUACGUACGAGAGUUGAAAUGUGAUCUCUAGUAUCGGUAAAGAGAAAUGUUCUAACCAUGCUAGUGUUAGUAAUUUAUCUUCUAAAGUUGUUUGAGUACUUUACUCUCUUACUUUACUAACUAAGCAUAGGAAAUAACGACCUAAACUACCUGAUUUUCGUUAGUGCUUGUAAACACGAAAAUUCCUGUAACGAAUAACAGAAAGACAUGUGUACAAAAUAAUAUAUUUGUAUUGAUUGAAUUUGCGGGUUACAAUCUCUAUGGGUAUUCUUUUAACAAGAAUGUCCUCUGAUUCGAUCUCCGAUGUUGAUUUGAUCCAAGGGUGACAAGCACUUGAUCUUGAAUUGAACUGUUGUAGUUUGAACUUCUUAUUGUGUUGACGAUUUGUAGAAGGAAGUUGACCAAGGGCCAUAGAGGCUUGAUCUUGGUCGAAUAUGGGCCGCGAGAGGUGUCACGUGGUGAACGUUCUUCGACUUGAUAGCGGAUGAAUCGGCACGUGUGUUUGGUACUUGUUGAUUCUCCACGAGGUUGUUGAAGAACUUGGUAGAAGUUUUGAUUUGUUGAAAGACUUGAAGACGAGGGUUGAUCAAGGGCCGUAGAGGCUUGACGUUGAUCGAGUUUGGGCCGAGCAGUUCCACAUGGUGGUUGCUCUUCGUCUUGUAGUUGGUGAAGAUGUCAGCUAUUUGGCAACUUGGGACUCUUCGGGAUUUGACAACCUAUAGGCUUGAGGUUGAUGAAGAAUCAACUAUUUGGCAGCUUGAUGAUUCUUCAAGGGUUUUGGGAGAAUUCUAAACUCUCGGGAGUAAUUUUUCUCUCUUGUCUGAAAGUCGUCCUCUUGAUAUGAGAGGGGGUAUUUAUAGUGUUAAUGCUCCUCCGUAAAUGGAAUGCAUUGAAGUCACAGCUUUAAUUAUAUUUCCUUAAUGAUAUAAUUAAAUCAAUCACUUUUGAUUGAUUGAUUCAAUUAUUCAAUUUCCCAUAAUUAAAUCAAUCAGUCUUAAUUGAUCGAUUUAGUUAUGAUCGAUAAGGUAUUUCACUAAUUUGAUUAAAUUCCGACUUCCUUUUCGAUAAUUGAUUUGAUUUGAUUGAUGUUUGAUUAUCGAUUGACAUUUAAUAUUUUAUUUUAGUUGGGAUUGAUGAUUUUGUUGUCGACCGACCAUUCACACGCCGCCACGUGUUAUUUUCGAAGACUUUUCAACUUUGCUGACUCACGAGCCACGUAUGCACGAGACUUUUCAACGUCUCUAAUUUACAUAGUAAUUGACGCAAUUUGGCCGAACUGUUUCUAAACACACUAAGCUUCAGUUCUAUAUAUACCGCGUACCACAUGUUUCAUCAAGUGUCAGAUAAUACAGAACCUACUUCGCCAAAAUGGAGAAAAUUGAGGUCAGUAUAAUUUCCAAACACACCAUCAAACCAUCAACUUCCUCUUCACCACUUCAGCCUUACAAGCUUACCCUGCUCGACCAGCUCACUCCUCCAUCGUAUGUCCCCAUGGUAUUCUUCUACCCCAUUACUGGCCCUGCAGUCUUCAAUCUUCAAACCCUAGCUGACUUAAGACAUGCCCUUUCCGAGACUCUCACUUUGUACUAUCCACUCUCUGGAAGGGUCAAAAACAACCUAUACAUCGAUGAUUUUGAAGAGGGUGUCCCAUACCUUGAGGCUCGAGUGAACUGUGACAUGAAUGAUUUUCUAAGGCUUCCGAAAAUCGAGUGCCUAAAUGAGUUUGUUCCAAUAAAACCAUUUAGUAUGGAAGCAAUAUCUGAUGAGCGUUACCCUUUGCUCGGAGUUCAAGUUAACAUUUUCAACUCCGGAAUAGCAAUCGGGGUCUCCGUCUCUCACAAGCUCAUCGAUGGAAGAACUUCAGACUGUUUUCUCAAGUCGUGGUGUGCUGUUUUUCGUGGUUCUCGUGACAAAAUCAUACAUCCUAAUCUCUCUCAAGCAGCAUUGCUUUUCCCACCAAGAGAUGACUUGCCUGAAAAGUAUGCCCGUCAGAUGGAAGGGUUAUGGUUUGUCGGAAAAAAAGUUGCUACAAGGAGAUUUGUAUUUGGUGCGAAAGCCAUAUCUGUAAUUCAAGAUGAAGCAAAGAGCGAGUCCGUGCCCAAGCCAUCACGAGUUCAGGCUGUCACUAGUUUUCUCUGGAAACAUCUAAUCGCUACUUCUCGAGCACUAACAUCAGGUAUGUAAAAUCAGUUUAGCAACAAGCCAAAUACUAAAGCAACUAAAUAAAAACCUAUUGUAUUUGGGGUAGUCCCUUAUUAGCUGUUGUCCUAAACUUCUAACGAUAUGAACUUUUUUCUCAAAAGAAAAAAAUAGUACACUUAACAUUUUCUGUUAUAAUUUCAUACUUAUUUAUAUAUUUUUAUUACAUACAUAGCUCAAAGAAUGAGAAAAUAUAUGAACCUGCAGGUACUACUUCAACAAGACUUUCUAUAGCAACCCAGGUAGUGAACAUAAGAUCACGGAGGAACAUGGAGACAGUGUGGGAUAAUGCCAUUGGAAACUUGAUAUGGUUCGCUCCGGCCAUACUAGAGCUAAGUCAUACAACACUAGAGAUCAGUGAUCUUAAGCUGUGUGACUUGGUUAACUUGCUCAAUGGAUCUGUCAAACAAUGUAACGGUGAUUACUUUGAGACUUUCAUGGGUAAAGAGGGAUAUGGAAGCAUGUGCGAGUAUCUAGAUUUUCAGAGGACUAUGAGUUCUAUGGAACCAGCACCAGAGAUUUAUUUAUUCACGAGCUGGACUAAUUUUUUCAACCAACUUGAUUUUGGAUGGGGGAGGACAUCAUGGAUUGGAGUUGCAGGAAAAAUUGAAUCUGCAUUUUGCAAUCUCAUAACAUUAGUUCCAACACCAUGCGAUACUGGAAUUGAAGCGUGGGUGAAUCUAGAAGAAGAAAAAAUGGCUAUGCUAGAACAAGAUCCCCAGUUUCUAGCACUAGCAUCUCCAAAGACGCUAAUUUCAAGAUAUUGAUUAAGGAAGAUUAUGCGGCUCGUGCAAUGUUUCCAUUUUGUUGUGAUUAAGGCUUAAAUUAGUUCACCAGCCAAUCAAUAAGAUGCAAGUAUGAUAGACUCGGUCUACGUAUGUUAUCCGAAUGUGUUUCCACAUGCUUGUAACCAAUAUAGCUCUUGUUUGUAACAAUGCUCUAUUAAGCUCUUCUAUCCAUAAAGUUAUUUCUCUAUUAAAAAGAAAACUAUACAAGUUUUGUUAAGUUUUUAAGGUAAGAUGCAUGUAGUACCCAAAAAGAUGGUUGACCUGUCAUUAUUUUCAAGUACAUGAUUAUCCGAUACAAUUACAUCAAAUAUUUCUAUAGCUAAAAAGUAUGUAAUUUUGAUCCGUGACAACAUGAUUAAAAAGUUAUAUAUUAUGAUGCAUUUAUCCUCUAACGACAAGCAUGGUCAUAAUGUCUCACCUCAUCACCUCACCAAGCGCGGAUCCAGUUCACAAGUGGGUAAGGCUCAAGCCCAACCAAGAAAAUUGGGGGAAAAAAAAACCUAAGUAUAGAUAUAUAUUUUUUUGGGUGAUAUAUCAUAUAUGCCCAGCCAUCAAGUGACCAAGCCCAACCCACCUAACUCAACCCAUCCCACUAACUACCCAAGUCCACAAUCAUCACUCAUCACUCAUCCACCCAACCUCCUUCAUCGAAGGAGUCCUUUAACUAAUCAGCUUAAACACCAAGUCUAAAAGUCUUCCCUGCUCUUCCCCUCCGCCUCCACUCAGUCACUCACCUAUGACCUAUCCCGGCUAUCCGGCUAUCCCUCUUCCCCUCCAGUCCUCCACGGCUCCACCAUAAUCUCCUUCUUCCCGGCCUCCUCCGGUCCUCCGAUUCCUCCCGGAUAGCGACGACUCGCCUCCGGCGGUCCGGACCUCCGCGGCUCCGCCUCCAGUCCUCCACUCACCUAUCCCUCUUCCAGCUGCUAGAAAGCUUGUUCGAGACUUGGUCCUCCACAGACAACCCAUUAGUCCAUUACCCAUCUUUCUUCACUCUCAGCCAGCAUGGUUGUACUAGAAAUUUUUUUUUGGCCUUCGGCCAAAGUUCAAGCCCACCCCAUCUUUAAAUCAUGGAUCCGCCACUGCACCUCACCAUAGUGUCCUAUCCUCUUAGGAGAAGGUAGGCACCUAAUGCAAAGGCCUUUAUGAGAGACUAAUAUCGUCUGAUCUUCUUUUCUUAAUCAAAAGAAAUGAAAAUGGCCACAAUGCCUCACUAUUCAUAGAGCCAUACAAUACUCUGGAACAUAUGCAUGGAGACAAAGAAAAAUAACACAAGAACCAUUAUAAUUUCACUUUAUACGGGAAACUUAGCUAAAUCCGAAUCAUGGGCGGAGCCAACCCAGGUGAAAUUUUGAAGCCCAAAAAAUUACCUGAAACAUCGUCGUUUGGGUGUAGGUUAUUUCUCCGUUUACUUCUUCUCAAUCUUAGUCAUAACUCACACCAUUGCGUCCGUAGCCCGUCGUUGUCGCUAGAGCGGUCGCCAUUUCCCAUAGCCCGCGCCGUCGCCCGUAGACCACAUCCCGAGUCAGUCAGUCCCCACUUGGCUACUUCCCCAGGUAUGGCUCAAUCGGAUUGCUUAUAUUCUGAUCGUGGACAUAGCAGGCUUCAAUUCAAAAGCCAUCAUAUUCAUAUGCUUCAAUGUUGCUUUACUUCGUCUAUAACUAGAGUUUCAGCUUUGCUUCGUCUUCAAUGUUGAUAUGUUGAUAUAAAAUAUUAACUUGAUUAGGAUUUGUUGAUAUAGAAUAUUACCUUGAUUAGGAUUUGUUGUUAUGUAAUAUGUAUUAGGAUAUUUAUUACUCAUAUUAGGAUUUGUUAUAUGAUCUUACAUCCUUACGAAUGAAUAUACAUCAACACAAUCGAAAUCUGCAUGGUCAUAUUAGCCUUAACUAGUUCAGUCCAAUUCAUAUUAGUCUUAAACUAGUUCAGUCUAAUUCCUCAUGGGUAUAUGCUGAACUUUAAGAUGUUGAUCUUCUAUAAUAACUGAGUUCGAUACCAGAAAUCUUUGAUGAUUGUCCACAUAUGUUAUCUUAUAAUCCUAUAUUAAUUUGUACUAAUCUCAUAGUCUUAAUUUGAAAGCUCCUUAUACGUCUUAACUUGGAUAUGGAUGUGGAUUUGAUCUUAUUAUAUGUAAUAUUAAAGUGAAGUUGUUGUAUUACACAGAAUGUUUGAUGAAUAAAUAACAAAUUGAUCGCGUCAAAAGGCUAGAUCAAAAAAUUUCUUGCACCAUCGAACAAAUUUUCUUGUGUAUACAAUUUCAUGGUUCCGCCACAUUGGCAACAAAGAGUGAUUGGAAAAGAAGAACACCCAGAAAGAUAAAAACCAUAAAACUUGUUUAAGCGAAAAAAACAAAAGUAUGCCAUUCAUUUCUUCUUGCGGUUUUGUUAGGCCAAAAAUCAAAAUCCCAUGAUACCCAAUCAGUUACACACUCUCCCUCUCAAUCUCUACAGAACUGACUGCUUCCCCUGAAAACUUGCGCAAUAAGGUACCCAUCUCUCUGGCCUUUUCUUUGUAAUGCAUAUAAGUUCCUGUAAAUUUUAAAGCUUUUGGAAUGAUGAUUUUAUGCUUGUGGAUCUCAAGAUGAGUUUGUUUGUUUUUUUCGGGAUUUUUAUAAUGAAUGCAUUGAAAAUGUUGAAAGCUUAUGCCUUUGUUCCUUGGUUCAGUGUUUUGGUUUUGUAUACGAGAGUUGAAAUGUGAUCUCUAGCUUGACUGUUGGUAUUGGUAAAGAGAAAUGUUCUAGAAAACCAUGCUAGUAUUAGUAAGUUAUCUUCUAAAGUUGUUCGAGUACUGUACUAAGCAUAGGAAAUAACGACCUAAGCUACCUUAUUUUCGUUAGUGCUAGCUGCUAUGAGAAACUUACCCAAUUCGUUGUUAAAAAUAGGGAAAAUACCCAAAUACUCAAAAAUUAGAAAGCUAAAACCCAUUCCAAUGAAAUUAUAAUCCUUUAGCUCAUUCCUAUGUUACACCGAUACUCCACCCCACGGACACUCCAACACUCCCGACACACCGAUAUCGAUACGAUACACCAAAAUGUGUGUCCGACACGCCACGUGGCGUGUCAAAAAAAGUUGACUUUUUAGACACGUUACGUCAGCCUGAGACACGCCAAGUCAGUGUGUAUUGAUUGAAAAAAAAAAAUACAGAACUAAAAGUCUAAAACCUAAUCGAAGAGGAAGCCCACUUUAAAGAAGCCGCAUAGAAGAGGAACGAUGUCACCGUUCACUAUCACUGCGAGAACGACGUCGUCUGUCCAUGUCAGUGUGAUUGUUCCUCCGAUGACACCACUCUGCGAGAACGACGAGAACAGCGUCGCCUUUCUCUGUUACAGCGACUCGUCCUCCGUCGGCCUAAACCCUCUCUUUAGUGUAAGGUUAAUCUUAAUCUCAGCUUUGACGUGUUUGGUGAUUGCAGUCUCAUUUGCAGUAACAGAAAAGCAUAUAAGAUUUUAAUCAUUUUAUGAUCAUUCUGAUACCACUUAUAGAUUUUUAAGGCAAUGUGCUAUUGAAGCAUCUGCACUGUGAUGUUAAGUGUCAUGAUAUUGCUCAAUUGCUGAUAGGGUAGGAUGGAGCUAGACAUUUGAGACUUUGCAAAAUUGAGUUUAUACCUACUAGUAUUAGAUCAUCAAUUAGUUGAGAGUUUGUAGGAGGUCAGGUUUUAUACUUGGUGAGAAACAUCGGCUCAUCUGUAUUUGUAAGGAAGAUUUAAUUGAAAGGAGUUGUGUAUGGAUUGCUUAUUUGUUUAUCUUUGCUCUGUUAAUUGUUAAUAUGUUAUGAUAUGCUGCUGUGUCUAUGCUGAUGUGCUUAUGCUACUGUGUGUCUAUGCUACUGUGUCUAUGCUAUUGUCUUAUGUUGUUUUGUUGGAUUAUUAUGAUUAGGAUGAGUUCAAGUGCGACAUCUACUGAACCUAGUGUUGAAUCAACUAAGCCUGAAAAAUUAGAUGCUCCUCUAUCAAGGAUAAAGGAUGAUGCCAAUGCAUGCGUGCCUUGCUCUUAUGUAUUUUGAAUAUCUCAGUUAUGGGGUUUUAGGCAGUUGGUGUUAUUAUAGGGUUAGGAAAGUCGGAUUUUCAUUCAGUUUGAUGAAUGUGUUGAAUUAGAUAAAACUAUUUAGUAAUCAUCCUUUAGAUUAAAUAUUGACUCUCUUUUAUGUUAUUUGUUACAGUUAUGCAAUUGCUUAAAUUUAGAGCAUUAUUUAAGCAAUGUGAUAAAUUUAUUCAUAUUUGAGCAUUUUUUUAUUAAUUAGAAAUAUACAAAUAAGUAAUUAUAUUUGCCGUGUCUAAGCCGUGUCGAAAAUGUAGUCUUUGAGUUUUGCCGUGUCGCCGUGUCAGUACGUAUCGUGUCGCCGUAUCCGUGUCCGUGUCCAUGUAACAUAGGCUCAUUCCAAUGAUUCUUAUGCAAAAGACAUUAUUANNNNNNNNNNNNNNNNNNNNCUCUCUCUCUCUCUCUCUCUCUCUCUCUCUCUCCUCUCUCUCUCUCUCUCUCUCUCUCUCUCUCUCUCUCUCUCUCUCUCUCGGUGUACGACGAUGCAAGGUUGAAGACGCAGCCUCCUACUGAGUCGACGAGACCGCGCUCGUGGUCGUGAUUCUCCUCAACAGCGACAUCGAUUUUGGCGGCACCUCUCGGAGAUGAUCCUCAUCUGCCAGAACCUCUGCAACAAUCUCUAGAGCCCUAACGAGCACAUCCGGGGCGUCACGCUCCAGUUCCUCUACUGGUUGAGCAAGUUGGAGAUUGUCCGGCCGUUGAUUUCAUCGAUUUUGGCCAAUCUAGUCAGAGAUUGAGGUCUGUGUUUAGUGCAAACAUGGAUAACGUUCUUCUUCUCCUUUUUUUAUCGGAGAUCGUGUUUUUGUUUUUGUUUUGGUCAGAGAGAUUGUGGUUUUUUCCCCUUUUUUUUUCAAUAUAAUGGUUAUUAAAUGAUAGUAUCUUGAUUAUUGGAGUAAUUAGUCUAUUAUUGGGAGGUAAGAAGUAUCUAGUGGAGGUCAAUAAACAUUUAUUGACCCCAAUAUUGCUUUUAUAAAUUUUUUUUGAGAUGUAGGGAUUUGCCUUAGAGGUAAAAACUUCCUUUUUAACUCGAUUACUAGGAAUCAUUAACUGAUUAUUGAGGUUAAGUAACUGAUUAUUGAGGGUCAGUAAGUGAUUAUUGGGGUUCAGUAACUGAUUAUUGGGGGUUAAUAACUGAUUAUUGGGGGUCAUUUUGAGAGUCAGUAACCGAGUUAUUGGUGAUCAGAAUCCAGCAACCGGAAAAAAUCUGAGUUACUGGGGGUCAGUAACUAAGUUACCGGUUAUCGGAAUCAGGCGACCGGAGAAAAUAUGAGUUACUAGGAGUCAAUAACGGCGACCGAAGAAAUUUCUGGCAACCGGGGACCGGAAUCCGGCGACCGGCAACCAGAGUCCGGCGGCGGGUGACCGGAGUCCGGUGAGAUUCCGGCCAAGUAUUCUCUCUCUUCCACUUUCUCUCUCUAUACAUGUUGAAGUGGUGAGAGUAAAAUUGUCUUAAAAAUAUAUAAAAAUUAUUUUUUAUUAUAACAUUAGUAAAGAUUUGUGCAUAAAAAAUGUUACCUUAUAUUGGAAUGAGCUCAUGAAAAAGAUUAACAUUAAAAUGGGGAAUAAGAGGUUUAAAUUAGUAUUAAAUUGACAUUUUCCCUUUAAAAUAAUAACAGAACCAUCAAUGCCGUGAUAGUCCCUUAAUAUUUGGUGGCUAAUUAGUAAUGCAUUCAUGGUAGUUGUGCUUAUUUUGUGCAUGUAUUCUAAUUCUAUCACUUGCAAAAUCGUUGUGGAAGGUUAAGAGGAGAAAACAGAAAAUGGGGCAGCAUGCAUCUCAUUUUAUUUCCGAUCAUAUUUUCAUAUCAUAGACGUUCACUAUUUAGAUAUACAUGAGUUGAUCAUCUCUACAAAAUUUCAACUAAUUUAGUUAUCAUUAAGGUAUCGAAAAUGUAUUAAAUCAAUGAACGAACCGAAUCUGUUCAUCCUGAACUGUACGUUCUAUUAGUUCUAAAUCACAGUUUUGAAUGUCUUAAUGAUUAUCAACUUGGCUGAAAAUUUAUAUAGAUGAUCUACUGAUAUAUAUACCUAAAAUAUGAACGGUUGAGAUGAGAAAAUAUGAUCGAAAGUGGGACAAAUAAUGAAAUCCGUACCUUAGAUAAGGUAAGGAGGUCCUUACCUGAUCAAGAUUGUGUGUGUGUGUCUAUAGAGUUUAGGGUUUAGAGUUUUAGGGUGUCAUGAAGAUAUCAUACAUCCUAAUCUCUCUGAAGCAGCAUUGCUUUUCCCACCGAGAGAUGACUUGCCUGAAAAGUAUGCCGGUCAGAUGGAAGGGUUAUGGUUUGCCGGAAAGAAUGUUGCUACAAGGAGAUUUGUAUUUGGUGCGAAAGCCAUAUCUUCAAUUCAAGAUGAAGCGAAGAGCGAGUCUGUGCCCAAGCCAUCACAAGUUCAGGCCGUCACUGGUUUUCUCUGGAAACAUCUAAUUGCUGCUUCUCGGGCACUAACAUCAGGUAAAAUCAGUUUAUCAACAAGCGUAAUGUAUUUGGGGUAGUCCCUUAUUAAUUAGCUGUUGUCCUAAACUUCUAACGAUAUGAACUUCUUUUUCAAAAGAAAAAAAAUAGUACACACUUAACAUUUUUUCUGUUAUAAUUUCACAUUAUUUAUAUAUUUUUAUUACGUAUAGUGUACUGUGUACAUAGCUCAAAGAAAGAUAAUAUAUAUGAACUUGCAGGUACUAACUACUUCAACAAAACUUUCUAUAGCAGCCCAGGCAGUGAACAUAAGAUCACGGAUGAACAUGGAGACAGUGUUGGAUAAUGCCAUUGGGAUCUUGAUAUGGUCGGCUCCGGCCAUACUAGAGCUAAAGUCAUACAACACCAGAGAUCAAUGAUCUUACGCUGUGUCACUUGGUUAACUUGCUCAAUGGAUCUAUCAAACAAUGUAACGGUGAUUACUUUGAGACUUUCAAGGGUAAAGAGGGAUAUGGAAGCACGUGCGAGUAUCUCGAUUUUCAGAGGACUUUGAGUUCUAUGGAACCAGCACCAGAGAUUUAUUCAUUCACGAGCUGGACUAAUUUUUUCAACCAACUUGAUUUUGGAUGGGGGAGGACAUCUUGGAUUGGAGUUGCAGGAAAAACUGAAUCUGCAUAUUGCAAUUUCACAGUGUUGGUUCCAACACAAUGCGAUACUGGAAUUGAAGCGUGGGUGAAUCUAGAAGAAGAGAAAAU
rnacentral:lncRNA from 1 species